rnacentral:rRNA from 1 species
UACGUAGGGUGCGAGCGUUAAUCGGAAUUACUGGGCGUAAAGCGUGCGCAGGCGGUUUGCUAAGACCGAUGUGAAAUCCCCGGGCUUAACCUGGGAACUGCAUUGGUGACUGGCAGGCUAGAGUAUGGCAGAGGGGGGUAGAAUUCCACGUGUAGCAGUGAAAUGCGUAGAGAUGUGGGGGAAUACCGAUGGCGAAGGCAGCCCCCUGGGCCAAUACUGACGCUCAUGCACGAAAGCGUGGGGAGCAAACAGG